AAAAGAAUAUGAAUAAAAUUGCUCUCUUUCAAUAAAUCACCAAUAAUGUAAAUACAUUGCAUGCAUAACAACAGAGAUUAAGACCAAAACAGACGACAUGAGAGCACAAAAAAGGUGAAAGAAUAUGGAUGAAGACUUCUCCAGGCACCUGAGUAGCCGCACUGGAAAGGUCUUCCAAGAAUCACUUGAAAGCCUCCUCGUCAUCUUUUUCUUCCUCUUGUUCCUUCUCUCUUUUUAGUUUCAGCCUUUUGGGUCGCAUACUGCAGUUUCCAAACCUUUACUUAGGCUUCCUUGUGCAUGCUUU
rnacentral:lncRNA from 1 species